UAGCAGGGCUUCACCGUUCUCUUGUCGCACUUGGCCUUUGAGCAAGUGGUCUGAUACGAGGGAACAGUGAAGCUGCUGACGAGCGGCGGACGGCUGAGUAACGCGUGGGAACAUACCCUAAAGUGAGGGAUAACUACUCGAAAGAGUGGCUAAUACCGCAUAUGAUCUUCGGAUUAAAGCAUUUAUGCGCUUUAGGAAUGGCCUGCGUACGAUUAGAUAGUUGGUGAGGUAAAGGCUCUCCAAGUCGACGAUCGUUAGAUGGUUUGAGAGGAUGAUCAUCCAGACUGGGACUGAGACACGGCCCAGACUCCUACGGGAGGCAGCAGUAGGGAAUCUUUCACAAUGGGCGAAAGCCUGAUGGAGCAACGCCGCGUGCAGGAUGAAGGCCUUCGGGUUGUAAACUGCUUUUAUAAGCGAGAAAUAUGAUGGUAACUUAUGAAUAAGGAUCGGCUAACUACGUGCCAGCAGCCGCGGUCAUACGUAGGAUCCGAGCAUUAUCCGGAGUGACUGGGUGUAAAGAGUUGCGUAGGUGGCAUAAUAAGUAGCUAGUGAAAUCUGGUGGCUCAACCAUUCAGACUAUUAGCUAAACUGUUAAGCUCGAGACCGUUAGGGGUAACUGGAAUUUCUAGUGUAGGAGUGAAAUCCGUAGAUAUUAGAAAGAACACCAAUAGCGUAGGCAGGUUACUGGGACGGUUCUGACACUAAGGCACGAAAGCGUAGGGAGCAAACAGGAUUAGAUACCCUGGUAGUC
rnacentral:rRNA from 1 species